AUAUUUUGCCAUCUCCAGUAAUCCCGCCGACUGGUAACACUUUUAAUUUUCACGUCGAAGAAAUCAGACGCUUUCUGCGCGUCGCCCGCGCGAGUAUAAAAUAAUUUCAAUUCUGGCUUUAGGUACUUAUUUUAUUGAAGAAAUAUUUAAUCAAGAGCCAACUAACGCAUAGAUACAGAAAAGUAUUGAUUUUCGUCCAAGAUGGCGGACGACGAGCAAUUCAGCUUGUGCUGGAACAACUUCAACACGAAUUUGUCGGCCGGCUUCCACGAGUCGCUAUGCCGCGGCGACCUGGUGGACGUCUCCCUGGCCGCGGAGGGGCAAAUAGUGAAGGCCCACCGAUUGGUGUUAUCCGUCUGCUCGCCCUUCUUCCGCAAGAUGUUCACUCAGAUGCCGUCGAACACCCACGCUAUCGUAUUCCUGAACAACGUCAGCCACUCGGCGCUGAAGGACCUCAUCCAGUUCAUGUACUGCGGCGAGGUCAACGUGAAGCAGGACGCCCUGCCCGCGUUUAUAAGCACCGCGGAAUCGCUGCAAAUCAAGGGGCUAACGGAUAACGAUCCUGCGCCUCAGCCGCCGCAGGAAUCCAGCCCGCCGCCAGCAGCACCUCAUGUACAACAACAGCAAAUACCGGCUCAGCGGGUGCAGCGCCAGCAGCCGCGCGCCUCCGCCCGCUACAAGAUCGAGACCGUGGACGACUGCCUGGGUGACGAAAACAAGGGCACCACCCAGAUCGUCAUCCAGACCACGGCCGCACCCCAAGCCACCAUUGUACAACAGCAGCAGCCCCAGCAACAGCAGGCGGCGCAGCAGAUCCAAACGCAACAGCUGCAGACGGGAACCACGACGACGGCGACGCUGGUGUCGACAAACAAACGCUCCGCCCAGCGCUCCUCACUGGCGUCCGCCUCCUCGAGUGGCGGCGUGAAGCGCUCUAAGACAAGCACCUCCGCAAAUGUGAUGGACCCUCUCGACUCGGCUACUGAAACUGGAACCACGACAACCACCCAACUGGUGCCGCAACAGAUCACCGUACAAACCUCUGUGGUCUCUGCGGCGGAAACAAAGCUCCACCAGCAAUCGCCGCAGCAAGUUCGUCAACAGCAGGAGGAAGCCGAGUACAUUGAUCUCCCAAUGGAAUUGCCCACGAAAUCUGAACCUGACUAUGCUGAGGACCAUGGCGAUGCCGCCGGCGACGGCGAGGGCACAUAUGUGGAGGACGACACCUACGGAGACAUGCGCUACGACGACAGUUACUUCACGGAGAACGAGGAUGCGGGCAACCAGACUGCGGCAAAUACGAGCGGUGGCGGAGUGGCGGCGACCACUUCCAAGGCGGUGGUUAAGCAACAGUCCCAGAACUACAGUGAAUCAUCGUUUGUCGACACCAGCGCGGAUCAGGGCAACACAGAGGCUCAAGCCAAAUUCGACUACCAGAUCAGCGUGGAUGUCGGCGAGGCCACCAUGCAGUUGGCCAACGCCUCGUCCGGCGGAGUGGUCAACAGCAACUCCCCCUUCUUCAUCGUCAGCAAGUACGGCACCAAGCAGAUCAUGCUCAAGCAGCACACCUUCAAUCGUCACAUCUGCCGGGACGACGUCACCUAUUGGCGCUGCAGCCAGUUCGCAGUGUUGCGAUGUCGCGCGCGGCUCAAAACCAAAUUGGAUACCCUCACCAUCCUAAACAGCGAGCACAACCACGAAGUUAUCACCAAGGCGCGAAAGUACGGCUCUCUGAAGCGUCAGCGGGCGGAAGCAGAGGCGGCGGCCCGGGCGGAGCGUCGCCAGGACCCCCUGGAAACGCCUGCCACUUCAGCGCCACCAGCAUCGACAUAGCGCCCUAGUCUUAAGUCCAACUGUAAAAUACUGCAUCACCUCAACACUCGUCUGACUCAAUAAAAUACAAAUUCUGUUGCGUACUACUCGUACAUCACCGGCUUUCGAGGGAGUCGAAAACUGAAGAUCGGAGAGUUCACCUUCACUCGAAAUAAGACAUCGGGAUUAAAAACUUAUUGGUCUUGCGCUCGAGCGGGUGCUCACAAAUGCAAGGCCCGUGUGGUUACCGGGCAAGACCACGAUGUGACCAUAAAAUGCGGGCAACAUAACCAUCCGCCCUACUAAGGAAAAUAUAUUAAAACCGGCCAACUUAGGCUCAUUGUAUAGAAUCAAUUUAUAGCCUAUUUAUUAUAGAAUAUAAAUCUGAAAAAUCAAAACCGUAUUUUUUAGAAUUCGCACUUCAAAAGUCUUCAUAAUUGUAGUCCUUGUAUUUAAGCUUACUCAAAGGUAAUUUGUUAUUUUACAGUAUUCGAAGAUCUGGAUGACAUGAAGGGCGCCAUCAAGCAUAGCCUACUCACCUUUAUUCGGGGACAGCGUGGUUGCAAACUGCUGGCAUUUAAUGGACACAACUACGUGCGAAAUCGUCGCAGUAACCUGAAGACCUACUGGAUAUGCUCGAAAAAGGGCAGCACGAAAUGCAAUGCCCGGGUAGUCACCAAUGUUGUUGAAGGUGUGCACAAAAUAGUACUGGAAUCGUGCCAUCACACCUGCCUGAACACGGAGCGAAAAAAGCGGCUGUCAGUAACAAACGUCAUGGGGAAGGCACGAAACAAGUCGGGAAAAUCUGUAGCCACUGGCUUCAUAAAGGAGGAGGGUGACGAGGAUCUAACACUAGAGCUAAGGACACUCAACUUAAGCAUCGAGGACCUUAACAACUUGCAAUGAAUCGAGACUCAAAAUCUAGCCAUACCUUGCGAUUUAGGAGUAGACUAUUUAUGUGUGAACCUAAAAUAAAUUGUUUGUCUUGUGUAUUUAAGCAGAAAUGUACUAUAUGAUUUAAAAAAUUCUGUGCCUGUGAAAUUUUUAUUGUGUUACCUUAUACUAAUUCUGCCUGUUUUUCUUUUUUUAGUGACAUUCGAUGUAAUAACCGUUCCGCUAGUAAAACCCGAACAACACCCGCUGAUGAAGCGCGUUCGAUUGUCCAAAUCUAUGGAGGACGUACACUAUGUUCGUACUCCAGCCGGAAAUGGUGUUUUGCACUGUGGAGAGCAUCGUUACCUGCGGAACGCCGCCUACAAGGACAAGGUCUACUGGAAGUGCAGCAAGUGGCGCAAACAAUGCCGGUCCCGCGUCAUUACUCACAUCUUGCCCAAUGGCCAAUCCCGCUACGCCGUCAGCGGGGUGCACAAUCAUCCUUAGAUAAAGAACAUUCAGAGGGCUGAAUCGGGCCACAUAGAUAGCUAUAGAAAUAAAGCACCCAUUUGUAUAGAAAAGAAUAGUAAACAAAAUUGAACCGA